AUGAAAGAGGCCGGCAUGGUUGGCGUCAUGCCCUGCCUCCUCCUUCUCCUCUUCGUAGAGCCGCGCGCCGUCGCCGCCGCCUACUCGGAGUACUCGUGCAAUGUCACCACCGGCAACUACACGGCGAGCGACGCCUUCGGGGCUAACGUCGCGCGCCUCACCGCCGAGCUCCCCAUCAACGGCUCCACCUCUCCAUCCCUCUACGCCUCGGCGGCCAUCGGCACCUCCUCGGAUAAAGUCUUCGCCCUCGCGCUCUGCCGCGGUGACAUCACGGACGCCAGCACAUGCUCCGGCUGCCUCGACAACGCGUUCCAGCAGCUGCGGGCGCUCUGCGCCGGCGAGAGGGAUGCGACGUUCUACCACGACCUCUGCACCCUCCGCUACUCGGGCGAGGACUUCCUGGGGCGGCCGGAAGAUAACAGCCCGGUCAUAAACGCCAUGGACGUGAACAGGUCGACGUUUGCUGCGUGGGACAGCGGGAACGCGACGUCCCGGAGCUUCUUCCUGUCCCUGGUUGGCACUCUAUUCGGGGAGAUGGCGAUGUACGGCUCGUACAAUUCCACGGUGCGCCGGUUUGCCAGCGCCGUUAUGUACGUCAACCCGCAGCUGCCGACGGUGUACGGCCUGGCGCAGUGCACGCCGGACCUCUCCCCGGGGCAGUGCUGGCACUGCUUCCAGGGCCUCCAGGAGCAGACGCGCCAGUGGUACGAUGGCCGUGAGGGCGGCCGCAUCAUCGGCAUCCGGUGUAAUAUUCGCUAUGAAAGCUACCAGUUCUACGACGGCAUGGCCGACGUCAGGAUUGGCUUACAGGGUGGCUCAUCUUCACCAACAGAAAGCAAUGGAAGCAAGCACAGAAAGACCCUAAUAAUUCUUCUAUGCGUGUCCAUUACGGUAUUCUGUUCUGUAUUGGUUUGCUGCCUUCUACUCAUGAGAAGGCUAAGAAAAGGAGCUGGAAAGUCAAAAUUAGAACAAGCACAUAAGAGGAACAACUCCAAGACAGAGGAGGCACUGAAGCUAUGGAAGAUCGAAGAGAGCAGCUCAGAAUUCACCUUGUACGACUUCCCUGAGCUCGCUGCUGCCACGGACUAUUUCUCCGAAGAGAACAAGCUCGGACAAGGCGGCUUCGGUCCGGUGUACAAGGGAAUGUUUUGUGAUGGAACCGAGGUGGCGGUGAAGAGGCUCGCGGCGCAGUCUGGGCAGGGGCUUGUUGAGUUCAAGAACGAGAUCCAGCUCAUUGCCAAGCUGCAGCACACGAACCUCGUCAAGCUCGUGGGUUGCUGCCUGCAGGAGGAGGAGAAGAUGCUGGUGUACGAGUACAUGCCCAACGGAAGCCUAGACUUCUUUAUCUUCGACCAAGAGAGAGGGCCCUUGUUGGACUGGAAAAAACGGCAACACAUAAUCGAAGGGAUCGCGCAGGGGCUCCUAUACCUGCACAAGCACUCACGGGUGCGCAUCAUUCACCGGGACAUGAAGGCCAGCAACAUAUUGCUGGACAAAGAUCUCAACCCCAAGAUCUCCGACUUUGGCAUGGCCAGGAUCUUUGGCUCAAAUGUGAUGGAGGUCAACACCAACAGGGUCGUCGGCACCUACGGUUAUAUGGCACCUGAGUAUGCUUCGGAGGGCCUCUUCUCGGUCAAGUCUGACGUCUUCAGCUUUGGUGUGUUGCUGCUGGAGAUAGUGAGCGGCAAGAGGAACAGCAGCGGUCACGGCCAACACUACGGAGAAUUUGUCAACCUCCUCAGCUACGCAUGGCAGCUGUGGAGGGAUGGGAGAGCGUUGGAGCUGGUAGACCCGUCGCUGGGCCAGUGCAACGAGCAGGUGGCAGACAUGAUGCGGUGCGUCAAGGUGGCGCUGCUUUGCGUGCAGGACAACGCCAUGGAUCGGCCGACGAUGUCGGACGUGACGGCGAUGCUGGGCCACGACGAGGUGCCCUUGCCGGAACCGAGGUGGCCGCCGCAUUUCCACCUCAGAGUCACCAGCGACGACGAAGAGGACCGAGUGGGUAGGUCGGGGACACGGUCGACACACUUUACCGGAUCGUGCAGCACCAACGACAUGACUAUCAGCACCAUCCAAGAAGGGAGGUACACGUCAUUGGUAAAGAUCCGUGCUUCGACCCUUUCUGCGUAUGGGGCAAUGAGGUAUUCGUGA
rnacentral:rRNA from 1 species